AUUGAACGCUGGCGGCAGGCCUAACACAUGCAAGUCGAGCGCGAAAGUCUUCGGAUGAGUAAAGCGGCGGACGGGUGAGUAAUGCAUGGGAAUCUGCCUGGUAGUGGGGGACAACGUUUCGAAAGAGACGCUAAUACCGCGUACGCCCUACGGGGGAAAGGGGGGGAUCUUCGGACCUCUCGCUAUCAGAUGAGCCCAUGUCAGAUUAGUUAGUUGGUAGGGUAAAGGCCUACCAAGGCGACGAUCUGUAACUGGUCUGAGAGGAUGAUCAGUCACACUGGAACUGAGACACGGUCCAGACUCCUACGGGAGGCAGCAGUGGGGAAUAUUGGACAAUGGGGGCAACCCUGAUCCAGCCACGCCGCGUGUGUGAAGAAGGCCCUAGGGUUGUAAAGCACUUUCAGUGGGGAGAAAGGUUGUUCAGUUAAUACCUGAAUGAAUUGAUGUUACCCACAGAAGGAGCACCGGCUAACUCCGUGCCAGCCGCCGCCGUAA
rnacentral:rRNA from 1 species